rnacentral:lncRNA from 1 species
AGUAGGACUUCAGCACCACCCAGUGACAGCAGAGCCACAGAGGGCCUGCUGGGAGGAGUUAGCGCAGGGAGAGGAUGGGAGAAACCCCUGGUUUCUUCUCGCUCCCCUUUCUUUCCCAUUAACCAAACACAGACUGAAUCCAGCUGAGGGGGGACCAUGAAAAACUUCACGGAAGGCCUGCCUUUCUGCAGCACAGGGCAGGAAAAUCCAGAGGAACAGAUCUGAGAACCAGCAGCCACGGGAUCUCUCUACACAAGACUGGCUGUGCUGCAAAUCAUUAUGUGGACCAGCCUGACCUUGAACUUGCGGAGUUGCCUUCUGUCUGCCUCUCCUUCCUGAGUGCUGGGAUGAAAGAAAUGAAGUCAAACAGGAGCCUUACUCUAAGGAGUACAUGAUCUCCGCCUCCACGCAUGAAGACACGGAAGGGCAAGUGGAAUCUAUGCGGCACAGAGAGGAGAUGUCUCCAGGUCUUGGCAUAAAUGAAGACUCUUCCCAUGGCCUGAACAUCUUUCUUCCAUCCUUCAAAGCCAUUGCUACACGGCAGCUCCCGGAUCAACGUGUUCCUCAUGGGAGUGAAUAAACAUCUCUGAGUCAGGAGGAGUGGAAAAAAUUCGCCCAAGAUUUACCCACAAAUUGGCUCUGAGAAAGCACCCCAGAACACUCCCAAAGCAUUUGUGCCAGGUUCCCUGGGCUGCUGGGUUUACUUGAGAAAUCAUAAAAUGACUUUUGUGUGUUUAUUCUUUGACAAUUUUAUACACAAAUGCAAUGCACCCCGGUCAAA